GACGAACGCUGGCGGCGUGCCUAAUACAUGCAAGUAGAACGCUGAAGGAGGAGCUUGCUUCUCUGGAUGAGUUGCGAACGGGUGAGUAACGCGUAGGUAACCUGCCUGGUAGCGGGGGAUAACUAUUGGAAACGAUAGCUAAUACCGCAUAAGAGUAGAUGUUGCAUGACAUUUACUUAAAAGGUGCAAUUGCAUCACUACCAGAUGGACCUGCGUUGUAUUAGCUAGUUGGUGAGGUAACGGCUCACCAAGGCAACGAUACAUAGCCGACCUGAGAGGGUGAUCGGCCACACUGGGACUGAGACACGGCCCAGACUCCUACGGGAGGCAGCAGUAGGGAAUCUUCGGCAAUGGACGGAAGUCUGACCGAGCAACGCCGCGUGAGUGAAGAAGGUUUUCGGAUCGUAAAGCUCUGUUGUAAGAGAAGAACGAGUGUGAGAGUGGAAAGUUCACACUGUGACGGUAUCUUACCAGAAGGGGACGGCUAACUACGUG
rnacentral:rRNA from 1 species